GACGAACGCUGGCGGCGUGCUUAACACAUGCAAGUCGAACGGAAAGGCCCUGCUUUUGUGGGGUGCUCGAGUGGCGAACGGGUGAGUAACACGUGAGUAACCUGCCCUUGACUUUGGGAUAACUUCAGGAAACUGGGGCUAAUACCGGAUAGGAGCUCCUGCUGCAUGGUGGGGGUUGGAAAGUUUCGGCGGUUGGGGAUGGACUCGCGGCUUAUCAGCUUGUUGGUGGGGUAGUGGCUUACCAAGGCUUUGACGGGUAGCCGGCCUGAGAGGGUGACCGGCCACAUUGGGACUGAGAGAAGGCCCAGACUCCUACGGGAGGCAGCAGUGGGGAAUAUUGCACAAUGGGCGGAAGCCUGAUGCAGCAACGCCGCGUGCGGGAUGACGGCCUUCGGGUUGUAAACCGCUUUCGCCUGUGACGAAGCGUGAGUGACGGUAAUGGGUAAAGAAGCACCGGCUAACUACGUG
rnacentral:rRNA from 1 species